AGUAACACGUGGAUAACCUACCUAUAAGACUGGGAUAACUUCGGGAAACCGGAGCUAAUACCGGAUAAUAUUUUGAACCGCAUGGUUCAAAAGUGAAAGACGGUCUUGCUGUCACUUAUAGAUGGAUCCGCGCUGCAUUAGCUAGUUGGUAAGGUAACGGCUUACCAAGGCAACGAUGCAUAGCCGACCUGAGAGGGUGAUCGGCCACACUGGGACUGAGACACGGCCCAG
rnacentral:rRNA from 1 species